GCUGGGGCUCCAAGCCCAUUGUUUCACAUGUUGUCGAAGGGGCUAACCCCGACACAGGAGAACUGCCAACUGCGGUGGAAACUUUUCAAAAGUUUCACCAUAAAGGCAACGAUUGGCGCAACGAGUUCGCGCAACAAGCUUACGAGCAAAUGGUUGAAAUAGCGGCAACUCAACCAGCGCCCACUGCAGAUGAGCCCGAAGAGCCUGCUGUCGAUCCUACACAGUACCCCCGAGACUUACCUGUUAUGACGCAAGUACUCGGGGAACGAUCUCGGCAUCUUAGAGGCUUUGGCC